AGAGUUUGAUCAUGGCUCAGGACGAACGUUGGCGGCGUGCUUAACACAUGCAAGUCUGCGAGAAAGUUAUAGCAAUAUAGCGAGUAAAGCGGCGAAAGGGUGCGUAACGCGUAAGCAACUUGCCCAUAGGAUGGGGAUAACGUCGAGAAAUCGGCGCUAAUACCCAAUAAUGCAGCGGCAUCGCAUGAUGAUGUUGUUAAAGGUCGCUUCGGUGGCGCCUAUGGAUGGGCUUGCGUCUGAUUAGUUAGUUGGCGAGGUAACGGCUCACCAAGACGACGAUCAGUAGCUGGUCUGAGAGGAUGAUCAGCCACACUGGAACUGAGACACGGUCCAGACUCCUACGGGAGGCAGCAGUGAGGAAUAUUGGGCAAUGCCCGCAAGGGUGACCCAGCAACGCCGCGUGGAGGAUGACAGCCGUAAGGUUGUAAACUCCUGUUCGGGGGGACGAAUAACCGUCGUUUGCAAAGGCGACGGCUUGACGGUACCCUCAGAGAAAGCCCCGGCUAACUACGUGCCAGCAGCCGCGGUAAUACGUAGGGGGCAAACGUUGUCCGGAUUUACUGGGUGUAAAGGGCGCGCAGGCUGGUCGGUCAGUCAGAGGUGAAAGCCCACAGCUUAANCUGUGGAACUGCCUUUGAUACUGCCGAUUCUGAGUGCGA
rnacentral:rRNA from 1 species